rnacentral:rRNA from 1 species
AACGAACGCUGGCGGCGUGCUUAAGACAUGCAAGUCGUACGGUAAGGCCCCCUUCGGGGGGUACACGAGUGGCGCACGGGUGAGUAACGCGUGGGUAACCUGCCCUCGGGUCUGGGACAACCCCGGGAAACUGGGGCUAAUACCGGAUAAGACCACGACGUCUUCGGACGAUGCGGAAAAAGGUGGCCUCUGCUUGCAAGCUACCACCUGAGGAUGAGCCCGCGUCCCAUUAGCUUGUUGGUGAGGUAACGGCUCACCAAGGCGACGAUGGGUAGCUGGUCUGAGAGGAUGAUCAGCCACACUGGAACUGAGACACGGCCCAGACUCCUACGGGAGGCAGCAGUCGGGAAUUUGCCCAAUGGGGGAAACCCUGAGGCAGCAACGCCGCGUGAGGGAUGAAGGCCUUCGGGUUGUAAACCUCUUUUCUCAGGGACGAUAAUGACGGUACCUGAGGAAUAAGCCACGGCUAACUACGUG